UCUGGUUGAUCCUGCCAGUAGUCAUAUGCUUGUCUCAAAGAUUAAGCCAUGCAUGUGUAAGUAUAAGUAUUAUACGGCGAAACUGCGAAUGGCUCAUUAAAUCAGUUAUAAUUUAUUUGAUAAUCGAAAGUUACAUGGAUAACCGUGACAAAUUACAGCUAAUACAUGCAGUUAGACCUGGCUCAAGGGUCGUAAUUAUUAGUACUAAACCAUUUCCGCAAGGAAUGUGAUGAUUCAUAGUAAUCGAACGAAUCGCAGGUAUAUGCGAUAAAUCAUUCAAGUUUCUGCCCUAUCAGCUUUGGAUGGUAGUGUAUUGGACUACCAUGGCAGUCACGGGUAACGGAGAAUUAGGGUUCGAUUCCGGAGAGGGAGCCUGAGAAACGGCUACCACAUCUACGGAAGGCAGCAGGCGCGAAAAUUGCCCAAUCCUGAUUCAGGGAGGCAGUGACAAGAAAUAACAACUCUCAACAUUGUUGAGAAGUGUAAUGAGGAUAAUUUACAAACCUUACCGAAAGCAAUUGGAGGGCAAGUCUGGUGCCAGCAGCCGCGGUAAUUCCAGCUCCAAUAGCGUAUAUUAAAGUUGUUGCAGUUAAAAAGCUCGUAGUUGAAGUUCUGGCUGAUCGAUCCUCGAGCUCUGUAGCCGAGGACUCGUCAGUCAUCCGCUUGCAAAUAUAUGUUCGCCUUUAACCGGGUGGCUAUAUGAGUAAGCAAUUUACCUUGAGAAAAACAGAGUGUUCCAGGCAGGUUUGUCCGGAAUGCAUUAGCAUGGAAUAAUAGAAUAUGACUGAAGUCUAUUUAUUGGUUUAAGGCUUUAGUAAUGAUUAAUAGGAACAGUCGGGGGCAUUCGUACUCAGCAGUCAGAGGUGAAAUUCUAAGAUUUGCUGAAGACGAACUAAUGCGAAAGCAUUUGCCAAGGAUGUUUUCAUUAAUCAAGAACGAAAGUUAGGGGAUCAAAGACGAUCAGAUACCGUCCUAGUCUUAACUAUAAACUAUACCGACUCGGAUUCAGAUGAAUCAUAAAGUUCAUUUGGGACCGUAGGAGAAAUCAAAGUCUUUGGGUUCUGGGGGGAGUAUGGUCGCAAGGCUGAAACUUAAAGGAAUUGACGGUUUUGCACCACCAUGGAGUGGAGUUUGCGGCUUAAUUUGACUCAACACUGGGAAACUCAUCAGGGCAAGAAGAUUUUAGGAUUGACAGAUUGAGAGUUCUUUCUUGAUUGGUCUAGUGGUGGUGCAUGGCCGUUCUUAGUUGGUGGAGUGAUUUGUCUGGUUAAUUCCGUUAACGAACGAGACCUUAACCUGCUAACUAGUGUUUCGAUUCAUAAUCGAAAGCACUUCUUAGAGGGACUAUGUGAUGUAAUCACAUGGAAGUUUGAGGCAAUAACAGGUCUGUGAUGCCCUUAGAUGUCCUGAGCUGCACGCGUACUACAAUGGCACUUUCAACGAGUUUUUCCUGAUCCGAAAGGAUUUGGGUAAUCUUUUUAGUGAGUGCCGUGCUUGGGAUAGAUCUUUGUAAUUGUGGAUCUUGAACUAGGAAUUCCUAGUAAGCGCGAGUCAUCAGCUCGUGCUGAUUACGUCCCUGCAAAAUGUACACACCGCCCGUCGCUUUUACCGAUUGAGUGUUCAGGUGAGUCUUCUUGAUAAUGUCAAAGUUAGAAAUUAAACAAACCUUAGCACUUAGAGGAAAAAGAAGUCGUAACAAGGUUUCCGUAGGUGAACCUGCGGAAG
rnacentral:rRNA from 1 species